UAUGGUAAUUGUGUGGCCGCGGUAAUACGUAGGGUGCGAGCGUUAAUCGGAAUUACUGGGCGUAAAGCGUGCGCAGGCGGUUGGGUAAGACAGAUGUGAAAUCCCCGGGCUUAACCUGGGAACUGCAUUUGUGACUGUCCGACUGGAGUACGUCAGAGGGGGGUGGAAUUCCACGUGUAGCAGUGAAAUGCGUAGAUAUGUGGAAGAACACCGAUGGCGAAGGCAGCCCCCUGGGACGCAACUGACGCUCAUGCACGAAAGCGUGGGGAGCAAACAGG
rnacentral:rRNA from 1 species